rnacentral:snRNA from 1 species
GUAUAUUUGGCAUUAGUGUGAAUC